CGCUGACGAGUGGCGGACGGGUGAGUAAUGUCUGGGAAACUGCCUGAUGGAGGGGGAUAACUACUGGAAACGGUGGCUAAUACCGCAUAACGUCGCAAGACCAAAGAGGGGGACCUUCGGGCCUCUUGCCAUCAGAUGUGCCCAGAUGGGAUUAGCUUGUUGGUGAGGUAACGGCUCACCAAGGCGACGAUCCCUAGCUGGUCUGAGAGGAUGACCAGCCACACUGGAACUGAGACACGGUCCAGACUCCUACGGGAGGCAGCAGUGGGGAAUAUUGCACAAUGGGCGCAAGCCUGAUGCAGCCAUGCCGCGUGUAUGAAGAAGGCCUUCGGGUUGUAAAGUACUUUCAGCGGGGAGGAAGGUGUUGUGGUUAAUAACCGCAGCAAUUGACGUUACCCGCAGAAGAAGCACCGGCUAACUCCGUGCCAGCAGCCGCGGUAAUACGGAGGGUGCAAGCGUUAAUCGGAAUUACUGGGCGUAAAGCGCACGCAGGCGGUCUGUCAAGUCGGAUGUGAAAUCCCCGGGCUCAACCUGGGAACUGCAUUCGAAACUGGCAGGCUUGAGUCUUGUAGAGGGGGGUAGAAUUCCAGGUGUAGCGGUGAAAUGCGUAGAGAUCUGGAGGAAUACCGGUGGCGAAGGCGGCCCCCUGGACAAAGACUGACGCUCAGGUGCGAAAGCGUGGGGAGCAAACAGGAUUAGAUACCCUGGUAGUCCACGCCGUAAACGAUGUCUACUUGGAGGUUGUGCCCUUGAGGCGUGGCUUCCGGAGCUAACGCGUUAAGUAGACCGCCUGGGGAGUACGGCCGCAAGGUUAAAACUCAAAUGAAUUGACGGGGGCCCGCACAAGCGGUGGAGCAUGUGGUUUAAUUCGAUGCAACGCGAAGAACCUUACCUGGUCUUGACAUCCACAGAAGAAUCCAGAGAUGGAUUUGUGCCUUCGGGAACUGUGAGACAGGUGCUGCAUGGCUGUCGUCAGCUCGUGUUGUGAAAUGUUGGGUUAAGUCCCGCAACGAGCGCAACCCUUAUCCUUUGUUGCCAG
rnacentral:rRNA from 1 species